rnacentral:rRNA from 1 species
GGGGAAUCUUGCGCAAUGGGCGGAAGCCUGACGCAGCGACGCCGCGUGAGCGAUGAAGGCCUUCGGGUUGUAAAGCUCUGUCAGAGGGGACGAUAAUGACGGUACCCUCAGAGGAAGCCCCGGCUAACUACGUGCCAGCAGCCGCGGUAAGACGUAGGGGGCUAGCGUUGUCCGGAAUUACUGGGCGUAAAGGGCGUGUAGGCGGCUUGGCAAGUCAGUGGUGAAAAACCUGGGCUCAACCGAGGUCUUGCCAUUGAAACUGUCAGGCUUGAGGGUAGAAGAGGAGUGUGGAAUUCCCGGUGUAGCGGUGAAAUGCGUAGAGAUCGGGAGGAACACCAGUGGCGAAGGCGGCACUCUGGUCUACACCUGACGCUGAGGCGCGAAAGCUAGGGUAGCAAAC